UUUAGCUCCUUUUACCUACUUCUACUUCAGCGUGUAGAAACUUUUAAACACGCGCCAUUUUAUUCGGGCAAUGUUUUCGCCAUCCUCGCGUUUAUUGAAAAUGGCAAAACUGGAUGAAUUCAAUCGUUUAGAUGGAUUCAAACUGACUGUAUUUCGUUCUGUAGUUCCUGGUGCAACUUCCGGUGAUGAUGGAGAGGAAAGCUCUGGAGCUCCAGCUCCUGAGGAAGAUUUACUGGAACACCGAAUUGUUUCCCCAAUUUUCGCAGGAGGAUCGAGGAACCGGUGGUACCAUCUGGCAGAUGAUCCGGAAGAAAAGUUCGUCGGUGAAUUUGGUUGAUUUUUUAAUUAGCUCGUGAAAAUAAGGUGCCGCAUAAAUGUUUUGGGAGCACAAAAGAACACGAAACCAUCAGAAACCAAUGCCUCUCUACAGAUCUCCAAAAAACAUCUACAGGAUUCUGAUUGAGUUGCAGACCACCGAAGUGUUCUGCAAAGGGCUUGCGGCACUAUAGCGCGGAGCAACUAAAAACGGGGGCAACAAUGGUCAAAUUACGAACCUCCAGCCUCCAGCACAAACCAUCAGAGAUACUCGAAACCGCUGUCAAUGUACACACUCAAUGGGCUGGAUUG